AGGAGAGUUUGAUCCUGGCUCAGGAUGAACGCUAGCUACAGGCUUAACACAUGCAAGUCGAGGGGCAGCAUUUGAGUAGCUUGCUACUCAAGAUGGCGACCGGCGCACGGGUGAGUAACGCGUAUCCAACCUUCCCCUUAGUAGCGGAUAGCCCGGCGAAAGUCGGAUUAAUACGCUAUGUUCUUCGUCGAGGACAUCUGAAGUGAAGUAAAGACAUAGUCGCUAAGGGAUGGGGAUGCGUCUGAUUAGGUAGUCGGCGGGGUAACGGCCCACCGAGCCGUCGAUCAGUAGGGGUUCUGAGAGGAAGGUCCCCCACAUUGGUACUGAGACACGGACCAAACUCCUACGGGAGGCAGCAGUGAGGAAUAUUGGUCAAUGGGCGCGAGCCUGAACCAGCCAAGUAGCGUGCAGGACGACGGCCCUAUGGGUUGUAAACUGCUUUUAUGCGGGGAUAAAGUGACGUACGCGUACGUUUUUGCAGGUACCGCAUGAAUAAGGACCGGCUAAUUCCGUGCCAGCAGCCGCGGUAAUACGGAAGGUCCGGGCGUUAUCCGGAUUUAUUGGGUUUAAAGGGAGCGCAGGCGGGCCUUUAAGCGUGACGUGAAAUGUAGCCGCUCAACGGCUGAACUGCGUCGCGAACUGGAGGUCUUGAGUGGGUGCGACGUCAGCGGAAUUCGUGGUGUAGCGGUGAAAUGCUUAGAUAUCACGAAGAACCCCGAUUGCGAAGGCAGCUGGCGAGUCCCUUACUGACGCUAAAGCUCGAAGGUGCGGGUAUCGAACAGGAUUAGAUACCCUGGUAGUCCCCU
rnacentral:rRNA from 1 species